rnacentral:rRNA from 1 species
UACGGGGGGAGCAAGCGUUGUUCGGAUUUACUGGGCGUAAAGGGCGCGUAGGCGGUCGUGACAAGUCACUUGUGAAAUCUCCGGGCUUAACUCGGAACGGUCAAGUGAUACUGUCGGACUAGAGUACAGAAGGGGCAACUGGAAUUCUCGGUGUAGCGGUGAAAUGCGUAGAUAUCGAGAGGAACACCUGCGGCGAAGGCGGGUUGCUGGGCUGAUACUGACGCUGAGGCGCGAAAGCCAGGAGGCGAACGGG